UUCCUCUUCCUGUCUCUUCCUCUUCCUGUCUCUGAUCACACUUCGCGCCACUGAGGAUUUUUAAGGAGCUGCGUUGUCAACUUGUAUCAUCACAAUCAAUCAGAAAAGUCAUUUUGUUGUGUUGAUUAUGGACAUCAGACGGUUCUUUGUAUCAAGCAAACCCGCAGCGCAGAAACCGUCUCAGGAUGGAAACCUCAACACAGAGUCCCCGAAGAAGAAAUCCGUCUCAACAGACGAAGAAGUGAAGAAAAAGCAAACUGCCACCAAGGUGGUGAAGAAGAAGAAGAAGGACAGUGAUAAAAAGAGAAAGAAGCGUGCUGUCAUUGAGUCAGGUAGGCUAGUUGAGAACAAAUUCUCAUUUGCAAAUGAGGCG
rnacentral:lncRNA from 1 species